CCUACGGGUGGCAGCAGUGGGGAAUAUUGGGCAAUGGGCGAAAGCCUGACCCAGCAACGCCGCGUGAAGGAAGAAGGCUUUCGGGUUGUAAACUUCUUUUGACAGGGAAGAGCAGAAGACGGUACCUGUCGAAUAAGCCACGGCUAACUACGUGCCAGCAGCCGCGGUAAUACGUAGGUGGCAAGCGUUGUCCGGAUUUAUUGGGUUUAAAGGGUGCGUAGGCGGGCUUUUAAGUCAGCGGUAAAAAUUCGGGGCUCAACCCCGUCCGGCCGUUGAAACUGGGGGCCUUGAGUGGGCGAGAAGAAGGCGGAAUGCGUGGUGUAGCGGUGAAAUGCAUAGAUAUCACGCAGAACCCCGAUUGCGAAGGCAGCCUUCCGGCGCCCUACUGACGCUGAGGCACGAAAGUGCGGGGAUCGAACAGGAUUAGAUACCCGGGUAGUC
rnacentral:rRNA from 1 species